CUAGGAAAGAUGACAAACACCAGCUUGUACUUAACUAAUUUAGUUUCAUAUUUUUAUAGGUACACAUUCUAGGCAUCAUCAAAAUACAAGGCGAGAUAGUUCAUUGAUUAUACUUUAGCAUCCAGAGAAACUGAGCACGGAGAAGGGUAAAAACAAAUAAACUAUCAGGUAUGCACCAUAUAGUCAUAUAUUGUGUGUGGACCCCACAAAUCAAGUCAAAACCGCCUCUUCUCUUCACAAAACCCAUUUUCCUUCCCUAUUUAAAAAAAUUUGAUAAAUCCUCUUCGUCUCCCCUUCUCACAGCUUCUUCUCCAUCAAUCCUCUUAAACUUUUUUUAAAAAAUUCCUUCUUCUCUUUGUCCAGAAAACCCCAAAAUCCUCAUCUUCUUCUUGUUCCUUUAUCAAUGGAGUCCAAUACUCGGUCGUUGGUGGAGUAUUCCGACGAUGAUGACUCGUCUCCACCCUAAACCAAAACCAUGUCCGAUUCUCCUAGUGGGAAUGAUAUUUUCACUGUCCCUAUGCCCUUAGCCAAUGCCACCCACAGUCCUGGUGGUGUUCCAUCUCCCACACAUCACUCUCACACUCUAACCCUUGAUAUACCCCUUUCUGAAACCCACUGCUCAUCCAUUACUCCACAUCUCUCUCCAUUGGCAUGCUCUCAGGGGAAGAAAUUAACCUCAUUGGUCAUGAAAAAGGUCUUGGUUCAGAGGACUUGCUGGCUCUUGGUGCAAAUUUGGUCAUGGGGGUUGCUAUUGAGUUGGAUGCUAAUAAGAUUGCCCAGAUUUUGCAAAUUCUAGUAGCUGGUUACUCUGUUUAUGACAUUGAUACUACAUAUGCUGCCCCACUUAUUCGGAAGUACUCUCAGGGAGAGGAGUCUACUUGCGGAAGAGUUUUAUGCUGCCUCAUCAUCAAUUAUUGUUCGAAUUGGUUAACAAAGUGUAGUUUCCUCGAUCUGAGCGUCGACACGAGGUGGGUAGACAUGACUUGUGCCUUAUGGAAGCUCUGGACUCUCAUGAACAUGUCAAUCUGCCCGAGUUAAUGAUUAAGCAUAUGACAAGGGUGAUUAACCCUGAUCGAGGUGCACAUGGGCUACCUUAUGGGUAUUUCUUAUCCCGCAUCUUUGCUUAUUUCGAGGUUCCUUGAGGUAAGGGCAAAGCUUGCACCAAGCAGGAGAUGAUUCGAGCUUCCACGUUGGAGGAAUGUGGGUUUCGAGAACAUGGAGCUCAGGGAAAAUGUUCUGUGGCAAGCAUUCUUGCUGAAUUUCAGCUUGCUCGGGAGUGUGCACUUACUUUGGAGGGUGAGAUUUUUGCACUUCGACAGGACUUACAGGCUGCCCAGUCCGCUCAAAUGUUAGAUGAACAGAUUGCUCUCGGCAGGCGUUUUGAGAUGAUGAUGUCCUUGGUUGGCAGGAUUCCUUCACCUCCUCCACCACCCUCCUCUUAGUCCCGUAUUUCUUGUUUUGUUCCCUCUAGUACAUUUUGUUUUGACUAGUGCUCAGACUUGACCUUUUUGUGCAGCACAUAUAGUGCUUUUUAUGUUGGUACAAUGCCUUGUUUGUUGUUGUUUGCUCUGUUUUCUGUGUUUAUGCUUGCAACUGGAUAAUUAAUAUCAUUGGGCUGAUUUUUGCGUACUAUUUUGGUGGUGUUCUGGUGAGCGUUCUCUGCACUAAUUUGUUUUGUCUUCUUUUCAAUGAUGCCAAAAGGGGGAAGUUCGUUGCAUUGUUUUUGGUUCUUGGCUAUUGUGGGGAUGAAUAUUUAGCUAGGUGAGGUGCAGCAGCGUACUUGUUUAAAUAAGGAAUGUACAAUUAACGUAUUGAAAAGAAUCCAAAACUUUAAGUCAAAAGGGAAAUCUUUUUUAUCAUGGUAAAGAGGUGUAUGAUAGCAGGUUUCCUUAUACAAGUUGGUUUCCACAAGGAAACGUUUUUGGUGACCUAAAGGGAGUCAAAGAGAAAGCAGUAUAUAUGCAGCAUUGCUGGGAAGCGGUGCACACACCUUUUGAAAAUCCACAGAUCUGAAAAUCGGAAAAGCAAGAAGGAGCAAGCAAGUAAAUCGAGCAAUUGAUUGCGACCAAGCUAUUACUAGGUAAUUGUUUGGUGUUGGCAAUAGAAGUGUUUCUUUUGAGUUGUAAUAGUCUUCGUUUAUUGUUAGAAGUGAAGUGUGGGUGAGGUGUUGUAACAAGAAGCGAGUUUGACUUCUUGGACUGAUUAAGUUGUGUGUAGAACAGUUAGAGUUGAUUGUCGAAGUGAGGUACUCGAGUGAGUCCCUUAUAUUGCUAAGUUGUAAUCUGAAACAUUAUGAAAGUAGCGGAGAUUGGAGUUGAAAUCUCCUAGCUUAA